rnacentral:rRNA from 1 species
UACGGAGGGUGCAAGCGUUAUCCGGAUUCACUGGGUUUAAAGGGUGCGUAGGCGGGCUUGUAAGUCAGUGGUGAAAGCCCGGGGCUUAACUCCGGAACUGCCGUUGAUACUGCAAGUCUUGAGUGCACUUGAGGUGGGCGGAAUACAUCAUGUAGUGGUGAAAUACUUAGAUAUAAUGUAGAACACCGAUUGCGAAGGCAGCUCACUAAAUUGCAACUGACGCUGAGGCACGAAAGCGUGGGGAUCAAACAGG